rnacentral:rRNA from 1 species
GACGAACGCUGGCGGCGUGCCUAACACAUGCAAGUCGAACGGAGUCAAAAAGCUUGCUUUUUGACUUAGUGGCGGACGGGUGAGUAACGCGUGAGUAACCUGCCUCUGAGAGGGGAAUAACGUUCUGAAAAGAACGCUAAUACCGCAUAACGUAUCGAAGCCGCAUGACUUUGAUACCAAAGAUUUUAUCGCUCGGAGAUGGACUCGCGUCCGAUUAGUUAGUUGGUGAGGUAACGGCUCACCAAGACCGCGAUCGGUAGCCGGACUGAGAGGUUGAUCGGCCACAUUGGGACUGAGAUACGGCCCAGACUCCUACGGGAGGCAGCAGUGGGGGAUAUUGCGCAAUGGGGGCAACCCUGACGCAGCAACGCCGCGUGUGGGAAGAAGGUUUUCGGACUGUAAACCACUGUUCUUAGCGAAGAAAGCAAUGACGGUAGCAUAGGAGGAAGCCCCGGCUAACUACGUGCCAGCCGCCGCAGUAAAAC